rnacentral:rRNA from 1 species
UACGGAGGGUGCAAGCGUUAUCCGGAUUCACUGGGUUUAAAGGGUGCGUAGGCGGGCAGGUAAGUCAGUGGUGAAAUCUCCAGGCUUAACUUGGAAACUGCCAUUGAUACUAUCAGUCUUGAAUACCGUGGAGGUCAGCGGAAUAUGUCAUGUAGCGGUGAAAUGCUUAGAUAUGACAUAGAACACCAAUUGCGAAGGCAGCUGGCUACACGAAUAUUGACACUGAUGCACGAAAGCGUGGGGAGUCAAACAGGA